CGGCGUGCCUAACACAUGCAAGUCGAACGGGCGGAUUCGGAAGACCUCGGGUGCGGACGGUUCGCUAGUGGCGAACGGGUGAGUAACGCGUGAGCAACCUGCCUUUCAGAGGGGGACAACAGUUGGAAACGACUGCUAAUACCGCAUAACACGUAAAGAUCGCAUGGUCAUUACGUCAAAGAUUUCAUCGCUGAAAGAUGGGCUCGCGUCUGAUUAGAUAGUUGGUGGGGUAACGGCCUACCAAGUCUGCGAUCAGUAGCCGGACUGAGAGGUUGAACGGCCACAUUGGGACUGAGAUACGGCCCAGACUCCUACGGGAGGCAGCAGUGGGGAAUAUUUGGGGCAAGUGGGGGAAACCCUGACCCAGCAACGCCGCGUGAAGGAAGAAGGCUUUCGGGUUGUAAACUUCUUUUACCAGGGACGAAGGACGUGACGGUACCUGGAGAAAAAGCCACGGCUAACUACGUGCCAGCCGCCGC
rnacentral:rRNA from 1 species